rnacentral:tRNA from 1 species
CCUCCGUGGCGCAAUUGGCUAGCGCGUUCGGCUGUUAGUACUCUCACGAGUAAGCAACCGGGAGGCUGGUGGUUCGAGCCCACCCGGUAAGUG